rnacentral:tRNA from 1 species
UGUGAUGUAGCUCAGUGGUAGAGCACCUAUCUGGCAUGCAUGAGGCCCUGGGUUCAAUCUUCAGCGUUACAC